UACGGAGGGUGCGAGCGUUGUCCGGAAUCAUUGGGCGUAAAGGGCGCGUAGGUGGCGGGACAAGCGUGCGGUGAAAGCCUGGGGCUCAACCCCGGGUCGGCCGUGCGAACUGUUUUGCUUGAGCACUGUAGAGGCAGGCGGAAUUCCGGGUGUAGCGGUGGAAUGCGUAGAGAUCCGGAAGAACACCGGUGGCGAAGGCGGCCUGCUGGGCAGUGGCUGACGCUGAGGCGCGACAGCGUGGGGAGCAAACAGG
rnacentral:rRNA from 1 species